rnacentral:lncRNA from 1 species
AUGUGUGUGAAAUUCAAACAGUUAUUCUGUUAUACUGGCAAUUAUGAGUUAGGGAUAUUGGAUUCAUAUGACUUAUUAGACUUCUUUUUAGAAAAAGGAAAAAAGGCGAAACAUCUCUGUUCCUCCACUCCCAACUGUCCCUUGGAAGAAGAGGGAAAGCAAAGGAGAUCUAGUUUUCAGCGACCAAGAUCCACAAAGGGCUCAUCACCUGGAGGAGCAGGUCAAUAGCUUCCCAUCCAGAAUUGCAAAAACCACCAAGUACAUGUCAAAAGCAGGUUAGUGGGGUUUAUAGUUAGGAUAUUUUUAUGGUCUCAGUAAGGAGUGUAUUGAUGGUCCUGUUUAUUUGUACCUGCUUAUGUGUUUAGACCGCACUGACAUGCUGACCCUGCAGUCUAUGGGGUGGAACAACAGAAAACUGGCAAACAUGGGCUAUAUUUUGGCAAAAAGAUACAGAAAGGUAAGAUCCACUAAAUAUAAUUGAUAUAUUUGGUGUUGUAUGUAAUUAGCUGCUU